rnacentral:rRNA from 1 species
UACGUAGGGUGCAAGCGUUAUCCGGAAUUAUUGGGCGUAAAGAGCUCGUAGGCGGUUUGUCGCGUCUGCUGUGAAAACUGGGGGCUCAACCCCCAGCCUGCAGUGGGUACGGGCAGACUAGAGUGCGGUAGGGGGAGAUUGGAAUUCCUGGUGUAGCGGUGGAAUGCGCAGAUAUCAGGAGGAACAGCCGAUGGCGAAGGCAGGACUCUGGGCCAUUACUGACACUGAGAAGCGAAAGCGUGGGGAGCGAACAGG